rfam:Ornithorhynchus anatinus chromosome 2, whole genome shotgun sequence.
CCCCUCUCAGGAUCUCACCUGGAGAGUUUUUGGUAUUCUACCAGUCUCGGGCUACAGGAGGGAUAAUCAAGCAGGGGCCUACCCAUUCCAUUCCUAGCUUGGACAGUGGCUAGUGAGUGGAAGGCAAUCUGCUACAGGU